rnacentral:rRNA from 1 species
GACGAACGCUGGCGGCGUGCUUAACACAUGCAAGUCGAACGAGUGGCGAACGGGUGAGUAACACGUGGGUGAUCUGCCUUGCACUUCGGGAUAAGCUUGGGAAACUGGGUCUAAUACCGGAUAGUGCAAGAUGAGCUCGCGGCCUAUCGGCUUGUUGGUGGGGUAAUGGCUACCACGGCGCGACGGGUAGCCGGCCUGAGAGGGUGUACGGGGACAUUGGGACUGAGGUACGGAGCAGACUGCUACGGGAGGCAGGAGUGGGGAAUAUUGCACAAUGGGGGGAAGCGUGAUGCAGAGGCGCCGCGGGGGGGAUGAAGGCCUUCGGGGGGUAAACUCGUUGCGACAGAGAAGCGGUACCUGUAUAAGAAGCACCGGCUAACUACGUGCCAGCAGCCGCGGUAAUAC